UGCCCAGCAACUCCUAUCCCUACCUCCCCGUGGUACUGGCUGGGGAACGGGUAACCAACCCCGGUGAGAACAUCGGUCGUAUGCUGACAGGGAAGG
rnacentral:ribozyme from 1 species